rnacentral:rRNA from 1 species
GGUUAAGCGACUAAGCGUACACGGUGGAUGCCCUGGCAGUCAGAGGCGAUGAAGGACGUGCUAAUCUGCGAAAAGCGCCGGCGAGGUGAUAUGAACCUUUGACCCGGCGAUGUCCGAAUGGGGAAACCCAGUGCAAUUCGUUGCACUAUCGUUAACUGAAUACAUAGGUUAACGAGGCGAACCGGGGGAACUGAAACAUCUAAGUACCCCGAGGAAAAGAAAUCAACCGAGAUUCCCCCAGUAGCGGCGAGCGAACGGGGAGCAGCCCGGAGUCUGAAUCAGCUUGUGUGUUAGUGGAACGGUCUGGAAAGUCCGACGGUACAGGGUGAUAGUCCCGUACACGAAAGCACACUUGCUGUGAACUCGAAGAGUAGGGCGGGACACGUGGUAUCCUGUCUGAAUAUGGGGGGACCAUCCUCCAAGGCUAAAUACUCCUGACUGACCGAUAGUGAACCAGUACCGUGAGGGAAAGGCGAAAAGAACCCCGGCGAGGGGAGUGAAAAAGAACCUGAAACCGUGUACGUACAAGCAGUGGGAGCCUCUUUAUGGGGUGACUGCGUACCUUUUGUAUAAUGGGUCAGCGACUUAUAUUCUGUAGCAAGGUUAACCGUAUAGGGGAGCCGAAGGGAAACCGAGUCUUAACUGGGCGUUAAGUUGCAGGGUAUAGACCCGAAACCCGGUGAUCUAGCCAUGGGCAGGUUGAAGGUUGGGUAACACUAACUGGAGGACCGAACCGACUAAUGUUGAAAAAUUAGCGGAUGACCUGUGGCUGGGGGUGAAAGGCCAAUCAAACCGGGAGAUAGCUGGUUCUCCCCGAAAGCUAUUUAGGUAGCGCCUCGUGAACUCAUCUUCGGGGGUAGAGCACUGUUUCGGCUAGGGGGCCAUCCCGGCUUACCAACCCGAUGCAAACUACGAAUACCGAAGAAUGUUAUCACGGGAGACACACGGCGGGUGCUAACGUCCGUCGUGAAGAGGGAAACAACCCAGACCGCCAGCUAAGGUCCCAAAGUCAUGGUUAAGUGGGAAACGAUGUGGGAAGGCACAGACAGCCAGGAUGUUGGCUUAGAAGCAGCCAUCAUUUAAAGAAAGCGUAAUAGCUCACUGGUCGAGUCGGCCUGCGCGGAAGAUGUAACGGGGCUAAACCAUGCACCGAAGCUGCGGCAGCGAC